GGGAGAAAAAUACUUUUCACAGGAAAACUACAUCAUGCUGGCAGGGGGGACUCCCAAACAAGGACCGGGCCAACAGAACCAGAAACUGGGAAUCAUCCUCAAACUGGACCAGACACACCUCCCGAGCACUGUCCACCUGGAAUGGGAGCUUUUUCUGGAGAUGUUUUCCAGAGUGGAAACGGUUGCUUCCCGGGCCCGCGUGUCUCAUUCAGAACAAUCAUCUUG